AUUACAUGCAAUGUAUGGAUCAGGAGCACGACCAACCAUGAUGAGGCUUGGAAAGAGGAUCUCCAGUGUCCAGUCAUGGCAGAUUCUUCCCUAUUUGAAGAACGUCCGGUUCAACAACAGUGCUGGAAGCGAAGUCUCCUUCUCAGAAAACGGACUGGGAUCGGCUCAUUAUGACCUUCUCAACUGGCUUUUCCUGCCCAAUCAAUCUUUUGUCCCCGUGACAGUUGGCCGAAUAGAUCCUGGGGCUCCACCAGGCCAGGAUUUCACCAUUAACUCCGAGGCAAUCACCUGGGCCCCAGAGGUGGGCUGGAAGGAAAUAUUCUGAAUAAAGGGAGAGAGUCAUUCUCUCCUGGGAUGCAGAAUGUCCUCCUAGCUCAGAAGAGGUCAAUCAGAUCAGAAUACAUAGCAGCCAUUUCAUGAAAAAAACCCUUUGCAUGCAAUACAUUCAAGUCUGAUUUGUGGCAUGUUGAAGAAGGGCUGGGAUUGGGGAAAACUCCUGCUGGAAACUCAGGGUGCUCUUAGAGCAGGACACAGUGAUUUCGAUGGGCAGUUCCCAUUCAGUUGGAUCCUCAUGAUUCUUUGUUCCGGAAGGCUGCAGCUGAAUGUCACAGGACUUGCUUUGCAUGCAGAAGUCCCAGUUCCUAUCCUCAGCAUCCAUUGGUGGGUCAGGAAUGUCACUGGCCUGAAUUCCCCCAAAAGCUGUUCCUGCUUGAUGUUAGACCAUGCUGAACCAGUUCUUUUGAAGACAUUCUGAAGAUGGAAAUGGGAAUGUGGAAAUGAAAAAAUGAUGGAUGUUCGUUGCUUAGGCCAUCUCAAGCAUUCUCCUUUUCUCUUUUAGAAGGUGCCCUUUGCCAGGUGUGGCAUGAAGAGGUGCCAUGCGGGGGAGAGGAGAAGCGUUCCAGAGGGCGAGCAGGUCUGCUGCUACCGAUGUGACCCUUGUCCAGAAGGGACCAUUUCUAAUCAGACAGAUGCAGCUCACUGUGACCCCUGCCCAGAAGACCAGUACCCCAACAAGGGCAAAGAUCACUGCAUGGCCAAGAAGAUCCACUUCCUUUCCUAUCAAGAGGC